AUUGAACGCUGGCGGCAGGCCUAACACAUGCAAGUCGAGCGGAUGAAGGGAGCUUGCUCCUGGAUUCAGCGGCGGACGGGUGAGUAAUGCCUAGGAAUCUGCCUGGUUGUGGGGGAUAACGUCCGGAAACGGGCGCUAAUACCGCCUACGUCCUGAGGGAGAAAGUGGGGGAUCUUCGGACCUCACGCUAUCAGAUGAGCCUAGGUCGGAUUAGCUAGUUGGUGGGGUAAAGGCCUACCAAGGCGACGAUCCGUAACUGGUCUGAGAGGAUGAUCAGUCACACUGGAACUGAGACACGGUCCAGACUCCUACGGGAGGCAGCAGUGGGGAAUAUUGGACAAUGGGCGAAAGCCUGAUCCAGCCAUGCCGCGUGUGUGAAGAAGGUCUUCGGAUUGUAAAGCACUUUAAGUUGGGAGGAAGGGCAGUAAGUUAAUACCUUGCUGUUUUGACGUUACCAACAGAAUAAGCACCGGCUAACUUCGUG
rnacentral:rRNA from 1 species